rnacentral:hammerhead_ribozyme from 1 species
AUCCAUCUGACGAGUCCCAAAUAGGACGAAACACGCGUCAAACUGGAU